CCGGUAAGCAUCCUCUUGUCUUGCUGGAACUAUGAAUGUCUGUUUUAUAUUAGAUCUGUCUGUGAAAUUCUCUAAAUAUGAAGCAAAGAUGAUGGAAAUUGAAAAUAGCAUGUCUUAAUUUAUAUUUUCAUAUUGUUCUAAUUUGUUGUCUUAGAAUUUUUUAUUAUUAAAUGCCUUUCUUCUCUUUUCAGCCUCUUGAUGGCUUGUUGGGAACCCAAGCUACAACUCCUUCAGGAUCUUCUAUUCCUACAUCUCAGUCCGUGGCACCACCUGCACCUCAUGUUCCUGCACCUCAUGUUCCUGCACCUCAUGUUCCUGCUCCUCAUGUUCCUGCAUCUCAUGUUCCUGCACCUCAUGUUCCUGCAUCUCAUGUUCCUGCACCUCAUGUUCCUGCACCUCAUGUUCCUUAUAGCUCUUCGGGUAAACAAUCAGUCCCCUGCAUUUUCUUCCAGAAGGGACUGUGCUUAAAAGGUGACAGAUGUGCCUUUUUGCACGGACCAAAUCCUACUGGUAACAAAAUCCCACAAGCGCCAGCAGCUACUCCUGGCACUGAGCCUCCGUCUCUUAAGAAGGUGUUUGGUGGCCUUGAAAAGUGUACUCAAGAGCAGAGGGUUCU
rnacentral:lncRNA from 1 species